rnacentral:lncRNA from 1 species
ACCGGCCUAGUCUUGGAGAUGAUGUUUAACCAAUGAGUUAUCACUUUCAAAAAAAUUUCUGGCAUGUCGGCGGCCGACCAAGCAAAAAUAUCAGCAUUUGCUAUCAGUAAGUCUACCAGUCAUUUUUGCUCUGGAUCAGAUAGUUGUGACCCGAUUUGAAUCAUCUUUAUAGGAUCGUCUUCUCUUAAAGGGAUCAAAAUCAGUUGUUCGAUCGGUUC